UACUGCAAUCUGUGAUGGGCUAUGUAAAAGUGGGGAUGUAUAUGCAGCUAAUGAGCUUCUACAUGAAAUGUGUGGAAAGGGUCUCAAAUUGAAUAUUAUCACUUACAACGCACUCAUUAAUGGAC
rnacentral:miRNA from 1 species